rnacentral:rRNA from 1 species
AUUGAACGCUAGCGGGAUGCCUUACACAUGCAAGUCGAACGGAGUGGCGAACGGGUGAGUAAUGUAUCGGAACGUGCCCAGUAGCGGGGGAUAACUACGCGAAAGCGUAGCUAAUUCCUCAUACUAUUGAAGCGGCCGAUAUCGGAUUAGCUAGUUGGUGGGGUAACGGCUCACCAAGGCGACGCUGCGUCACUGGUUUGAGGGGACGACCAGCCACACUGGGACUGAGACACGGCCCAGACUCCUACGGGAGGCAGCAGGGGGGAAUUUUGGACAAUGGGGGAAACCCUGAUCCAGCCAUCCCGCGUGUGCGAGGAAGGCCUUAGGGUUGUAAAGCACUUUUGGCAGGAAAGCGGUACCUGCAGAAUAAGCACCGGCUAACUACGUGCCAGCCACCGCGGUAAUUC